rnacentral:lncRNA from 1 species
UUCACAUUCACGUUUUCUAAUUUUUAAUUCAGAUAUUGGUAUAUUUUCUGUAUUUUACUCCACUGUACAUUUAACCACACUGUCUAUUCAAACACAGAUUUAAAUAAUAUUUAUCAUGUUUUACUGUACAUUUAACCACAACCUCUAUUCAAACACAGAUUUAAAUAAUAUUUUCCAUGUUUUAUUCCACAUUUAAACACACUCUCUAUUCAAACACAGAUUUAAAUAAUAUUUAUCAUGUUUUAUUCCACAUUUAAACACACUCUCUAUUCACACACAGAUUUAAAUAACAUUUACCAUGUUUUACUGUACAUUUAACCACACCCUCUAUUCACACACAUUACAGAUUUAAAUAACAUUUACCAUGUUUUAUUCCACAUUUAACCACACUGUCUAUUCACACACAUUACAGAUCUAAAUAAUAUUUAUCAUGUUUUACUGUACAUUUAACCACACCCUCUAUUCAAACACAGAUUUAAAUAAUAUUUACCAUGUUUUAUUCCACUGUACAUUUAAACACACUGUCUAUUCACACACAUUACAUUUUUAAAUAACAUUUUCCAUGUUUUACUCCACAUUUAACCACACCCUCUAUUCACACACAGUACAGAUUUAAAUAAUAUUUAUCAUGUUUUAUUCCACAUUUAACCACACUCUCUAUUCACACACAUUACAUUUUUAAAUAACAUUUUCCAUGUUUUACUCCACAUUUAACCACACUCUAUUCACACACAGAUUUAAAUAACAUUUUCCAUGUUUUACUCCACAUUUAACCACACUCUAUUCACACACAGUACAGAUUUAAAUCACAUUUAAUUUUUCUCUGCCUUGUGGUAACGUUUCAAUCGCUGCUCCUGUAACAUGUGCUGGGUUUUGUCUGAUUUCCCAGAACAACGGGACAGGAGGAUGGGUGAGUGUCCAAUCCCUCCCCAGGUGGGAAUUCCUGCCGGAUCCCCGCAGCCCCUCACGGAAAUUCUCCUUUUCCUCCCUUCCAGCGGAGCUGAGCGCGGAGCUCGAGGAAUCCCGAAUACGGAUCUGUGAGUGUCCCCGG